UUUCAUCUGCAUCCAAAUAUUAAACUGCAAAAAAUGCGUGGGAAUGCUGAAUAGCUGAAUUGCUAAAGCUAACCUGGUUAAAAGGCUUAAAUCCGUAAGAAGAAGAUGAAGUAGUAAGAAUAGUUG